rnacentral:rRNA from 1 species
GGCGAACGGGUGAGUAACACGUGAGUAACCUGCCCUUGACUUUGGGAUAACUUCAGGAAACUGGGGCUAAUACCGGAUAGGAGCUCCUGCUGCAUGGUGGGGGUUGGAAAGUUUCGGCGGUUGGGGAUGGACUCGCGGCUUAUCAGCUUGUUGGUGGGGUAGCGGCUUACCAAGGCUUUGACGGGUAGCCGGCCUGAGAGGGUGACCGGCCACAUUGGGACUGAGAUACGGCCCAG